UGCAUGUUUUCUGUUUGAGAUGCACGCUCCUUUUUCUAGGGCCGACAGCUGGAAGUAGAAUUGCUAAGUUGCAGGCUAUGCAUAUACUGAACUUUAAAGAUACUGUCCAUGUGGUCGUCACAAUUUUUGUCUGAUUGGUGUGACAUCCAGCAGGGGACGAAAGUCAUCAUAGAUCCACAACCUCACCAGCACUGAUAAUCGGCAGGCUUUCAUGUCAGCCAGUCCGUCUGUGAUACAGUGGUGUCGUCGUGUGGCUUUUACCUGCUUUGGCCUUCCUUGUUAUUAAAGAGCUUGAGUGUGUUUUCGUGCACUUAUUGGCCAUUUGGAGUUCAGCUUUUGCAAACUUUCUAUUUAUUCAUUUGCCUUUAUUAUCUUAGGUACUAAGUAAAGUUCUUUGUAUGUUCUGUAUAGUCAGCGUUCUUCAGCUUAUUUUUUCAUGGCUUUCAGAAGCUUCUAAUUUUAGUGUAUAUACACUGUCAGUGCUGCCUUUGACAUUGUGUUUUCUCUUAGAAAUCAGUCUCUGAAAGUCAUGAAGAAAAUCUCUUACUAUUUUUUAAAGAUUUUAUGUAUUGACUUCCACAUUUAGGACUUUAAUCUACCUGGCAUUGAUUCUCUCAUAAUCGUAUGAAGUAGGGGUCCAAUUUGAUUUCUUUUCCUUUGUACAGAUAGUCAGAUUUCCUAGAACCAGUUAUUAAAAAUUCUGUGAUUUCCCCACUGUCUGUCAGGCCACGGUGUCCAUACCAAGCUUCUGUGUAUGUGUGAGUUUAAUUCUCAAGCCUGUUCCUCCGUUCUGUUUGUCACAUUGUCAGUACUUGCAGAAACAGCAUACUUUUUCUGUUCUUCUUCAGUGGCAUUUUGACUGUGGUUCGGCCAUUGCAUCUCCAUAAAAAAUUUAGAAUUAGGAAAUAAAAACUAUUCGUUAUAUCGAUUUUAAAAUAAAAUGCACAUAGUGUACUAACAUAUAUACAGCCAUCCUAUUAAUGUCUUGCUAGCUCUAAUUGUGAUUCUUUAGUUAUUAUUAAUACAGUUGUGUUGGGUGUGUUUUAUGUAUGCAGCCCUAUAACCUGUGCUUAUUAACAGUUUUUAUUUUUUUCAAAUGCUGUGUCUUUUUUUCCUCACUGAGAUUUUGGGCUUAUCUGUUGCAACACCUGGUUUCCUUAGCUAAUAGAAGAUGAUAUGAUAUUUACUGGAUCUAGUUAGACUUUGGAGGUCAUAAAGAAUAUUUGGCUGAAAUUUGGCCCUAACUCACGAACUCAGUAGUACAGAAGAGGAGAAAGUUAAGCUGCUGCCCUGGCUUUUAUGGAACAAAGCUAUGCUAAGAUCCAUUCUUCUUGUGAGAAAUAUUCCCAGACUCCUCUACUUGUGCAGCAAGACCCCUUUAACAUGUAGAAACGUACAAAUGAACAAAGUCUGAUGGUGUGUCCUAAAGCCAGUGAUGUUUCGUACACAUCUCUGGACCCAUAGAAACAUCAUAGCGAGCGACUGACGCAGGAAAUCGAAUCUGUGCCUGACUUAGUUUGUCUGGGCUCCCUGACUGUCGUCUGCUAGAAAAGAAAUACUGUUCCGUUUUACCUACACACUCCGGCCUGGGCCUGCAGGCUGGCGAUGAGUCCCUCACGUGGACACACGUUGCACAGUGUAUCUUGAAGAAGUCCCAGAGGUGCACAUCUGCCAUGACUGACGGCAGUGCCCAGUCACCACAUGGCAGGAAGGCAAGGACAAUUAAAAUACUGGUUAGUGAGCGCCUCCUAAAAGGAUCCGGGUUUUAUAUGUCUAGAAAUUUCAGAGUCAAGAUCAGGUGAGAUGAAAUGUCUAUAUGUUUUCCUGUGUGAAUGCUCACAAGAGUAUAUGUGGCAGAAGAAAUUCGCAGUAAUCAGAGGGGCAGGUUGGCCCAUCCUGAGCCGCUUCUUUCACUGACUCCUGUAACCUCAGAUCAAUACGCUCACCAGGCAGCUGGGAUGAAGAUCAUUCUGGGGCCCAACAGCUUGGCCUUCACCCCACUGAGUCUAAACGCAUCACUGUCACUGGUGGGACAUAGUCUCAAAGUUUCACGAUCCCUGUUGUUGUCUGUUAUGACGCCGUUUCCCUGGAGGAUUGGGCAGUGCCCCAGUGGACGUUUCCGUUUCAUGCCCUUCUUUGCUAAACAAACUCUCUUUUCGCUUGAAUCAAAGUUAUGCUGGAUAUGGGUGUGUCUUCUCUGACCUCAGUGCUGUAGGAACAUCACCAUUUGUGGAUUUACUGAGUGUCUGAUUCACUAUUAGGAUGUCGUAUGCACAAAUUGGUUUUUUUUGGACAAACCAUUCCAUUUUAGUAACAUCAAUAAUGCACUUACUAUGGAUGACAGAGUGGCUGAGGUCUGGGAGUUAGUCGGUCUUAACAUAGUUUUCUCUGAAACACUGUUUUCAGACAAAUUUGAAGUGACCUUCUGAAGAUUCAGUAACGGCAUCUCUACAAGCAGUAAGUAUAUUGCCCUACAAAAUGCGGUAGCGUUUCUGCCUGGAUACAACCUACUGUUCCGGUGUUGAAGAUUUGCAAGUGGUCUUACCUUGCAAACCACUAACGGACUUUUGUUUUCCAUCACCAGGAGUUUGUAUUCUUCUGGUUUAAAGGUAAAAUUUACCCGGAAACAAAACAUUCUUUCCAUAUGGUCCCUGUGGCACUUUGGGUCUCAAUCCCAUUGAGUCGACAAGGAAAGAAUACGCAUGUCGUACUUUGCAGUAUGUUUAAUGCUAAUAAGAGAAAGGAGGUAGAGAGGAAUGUGUUUGGAAAGCAUGGGCUCCUGAGGUUUACCCAAUCAACUCCUUUGUAACGUGUGCUAGUAGAAAAAAGCGGAAACACUGAUGGCCGAAAGGACUGGGUAGUAAAGUUUCAGGUGUUGAGGUGCUGACUAAAGGAAAGGGCAGCAUGAAAGAUGUGGUGAGAAAAAACAUUGCAAGUACCACCCCGUAGCUCUGCGACUGCAAUGCAGGCUUUCGUAACUGACUGUGUCCUCUUCCCUUCCAGCACGUCUGCACUUGGACCUGCAGUCACGUUUCCCUGUGUAAGGGUGGCGAGGAAUAUUUUCUCUUGCCCUCAUUAGGGAUGCGAGCGUUGCUCUUCUAUUCCCUAAAUACUUUAUAUGUGGUACAUUUUGCAUGACUGACUUAUAAAUUGAUUUUCUACUUGCAGAAAUGUAAGAGAGAGUCUAGACUAAAUAAGCAGGGAGUGGCUGCCUCUUUGAGAUGGGAACCACGACUGGGGGUACGUUCGUUAGCCCCUUUGGCUUUGUCUUCUGGCACCGACGCACAUUUAUUAUGCAGAGAAAGCUGUGAGUGGAAUUUUAGCAUCCAGAGUGAUGGAGUUGGGUGGACGUGUUGAUUGACGCUCAUAACCUUUCUUCUGCCUUGUAUUUCUAAGAUCGGGAUGUUAAAUGUCUCCUUUGUUUCUGGACGCCCUUAAAGUUAAGAGCUUUGAGUGUAAAUUAGUUAUCAGUUUAUAAGUUAGAAGUGAGGUAAAUCUAUACUUGCGGAGCAUUAUUGACAGAUAAGUUUGCUCUGACAGAAAUGAAUGUUAAGAGAAGCUGGAAUUCAUGUCUUAAUGUUUAAUUACCAAUCUUAUGUUCCAAGAAAACCCUGUUUUUUGUGAUAGUAUAUGCACUUUAUUUUAUUUUCUUGGAGUAUAGCUGACUCACAGUGUUGUAUCAGUUUCAGGUGUAAAGCAAAGUGAUUCAUUUAUACAUAUGCAUACAUCCAUUUUAUCCUAUAUUGGUAAUUACAGAAUGAAAUAGCUUUCCCUAUGCUAUACAGUAGGUCUUUGUUAAUUAUAUAUUUUAUAUAUAUGUGAGUGUAUGUUAUACGUAUCCUCCCAGUUUAUCCCUCUUGCCACCAUGGUUUCCCCCAGGAGAGCCAAAAUUUGAUUUCAAAAUUUGAGUUUGUUUCUGUUUUAUGCAUAUGUUGUUUUAUUAUUUUUAUUAGAUUCCACAUUUAAGUGGUAUCUUCUAUUUGUCUUUCUCUGUCUGACUUCUUGACUUCAGCAUGGUAAUUCCUAGGUCCAUCCAUAUUGCUGCAAAUGCCAUUAUUUCAUUCUUUUUAUGGCUGAGUACUGUUCCAUUGUAUACAUGUACCAUAUAUUCUUUAUCCAUUUAUGUUCCAUGUCUUGGCUAUUGUAACUAGUGCUGCAGUGAACUUAUGGGUGCAUGUAUCUUUUUGAAUUACGGUUUUCUUAGGAUAUGUGCUGAGGCUUGGGAUUGCUGGGUCAUAUAGUAGUUCUAUUUUUAGUUUUUUUAAGGAACGUCCAUUCUGUUCUUCACACUGGUUGUACCAAUUUACAUUCCCACCAAUAGUGUAACAGAGUUCCCUUUACUCCACCCUCUCUCCAGCAUUUAUUGUUUGUAGACUUUUUGAUGAUGGCCAUUCUGCCUGGUGUGAGGUGAUUCAUGACUGUAGUUUUGAUUUGCAUUUCUCAAAUUACUGCUGUUGAACAUCUAUGCAUAUGAUUUUUGGCAAUUUGUCUUCCUUGGAGAAAUGUUGAUUUAGAUCUGACCAUUUUUUGAUUGGGUUGUUUAGUUUUUUCCUAUAAACCUGUGUGAGAUGUUUGUCUAUUUUGGAGAUUAAUCCUUUGUCAGUUACUUCAUUUGCAAAUAUUUUCUCCCAUUUUGUAGGUUGUCUUUUCGUUUUCUUUAUGGUUUCUUUUGCUGUGCAAAAGGUGUUAAAUUUAAUUAGGUCCUAUUUAUUUAUUUAUUUAUUUUCCUUACUCUAGGAGGUGAAUAUGAAAAGAUAUUGCUUGGUUUACAUCAUUGAGUGUUCUGCCUAUAUUUUCAUCAAGGAGUUUUAUGAUAUCCAGCUUUAUGGAUUAUGGUCUUUAAUCCAUUUUGAGAUUAUUUUGGUGUGGUGUUAGACACUGUUCUAACUUCAUCCUUUUAUGUGGAGCUGUACAGAUUUCCCAGCACCACUUAUUGAAGAGACUGUCUUUUUUCCAUUGUAUAUUCUUGUCUCCUUUGUCAUAGAUUAGUUGGCCAUAAGUGCCUGGGUUAAUCUCUGACUUUUAUAUCCUCUUCCGUUGAUCUAUAUAUCUGUUUUCUUUUGCCAGUACAGUAAUGUUCUGACAACUAUAGUAAUAUGGUGUAAGUGAAGUCAGAGAGCCUGAUUAUUCCUCCAGCUCCAUUUUUCUUUCUCAGGAUUGCUUUGGAUAUUGGGGGUUUGUGUUUCCAUACAAAUUUAAUUUUUUUUUAUUCUAUUUCUUUGAAGAAUGCCAUUGAAAAUUUGAUAGGAAUUGCAUUGAAUCUGUAUCUUGCCUUUGGCAAUAUAAUCAUUUUGACAAUAUGGAUUCUUCCAAUUCAAGAGUAUGGUAUAUCUUUCCAUCUGUUUGUGUCUCUUCAAUUUCUUUCAUCAAUGUCUUAUAGUUUUCAUAAUAUAGGUCUUUUUUUCCCUCUUUUGGUAGGUUUGUUCCUAGAUAUUUUAUGAUUUUUGAUUGGUUGGUAAAUGGAAUUACUUUCUUAAUUUCUCUUUCCGAUGUUUCUUUUUUAGUGUUGAGAGAUUUCUGUAUGUUAAUUUUUUAUUCUGCAAUUUUAUCAAAUUUAUUGAUGAGCGCUAAUAUUUUUCUAGUAGGAUCUUUAGUAUAGUGUAUGUAUAGUAACAGGUCAGCUACAAACAGUAAUAUUUUACUUUUUCCUUUUCAUUUAGGAUUCUUCUAUUUCUUUUCUUCCUCUGAUUGCUGUGGAUAGAACUCCAAAACAAUGUUGAAUAAAGUAGUGAGAGUAGACAUCAUUGUCUUGUUCCUAAUCUUAGUUGAAUUGCUUUCAGAUUUUCACCAUUGCUAAGGAUGUUGGCUGUGGAUUUGUCAUUCCAUGGCCCCAUUAUGUCAAGGUAGGUUCCAUGUACCCAUUCAGAAGGGAUUUUUAUCAUAAAUUGGUGUUUAAUUUUGUCAGAAGUUUUUUCUGCAUCUAUUAAGAUGAUCAUAAGAUUUCUAUUCCUCAAUUUGUCAAUGUGGUGUAUCACACUGAUUUGUGGAUAUUGAAGAAUCCUUGCAUCCCCAGGAAAAAUCCCACCUGAUCAUGAUGUAUGAUCCUUUUAAUGUACUGUUGGAUUUGGUUGCUAAUAUUUUGUUGAGGAUUUUGUGUAUAUUUCAUCAGUGAUAUUGGUCUGUACUUUUAUUGUGGUAUCUUUGGUUUUGAUAUCAGGGUUAUCAUGGCCUCGUAGAAUGAUUUUGGGAGUGUUACCUCCUCUGCAAUUUUUUGGAAGAGUUUCAGGAGAAUAGUUGUUAAAUGUUUGAUAAAAUUCACCUGUGAAGCCAUUUCUUUCUGGAAUUUAUUUUGUUAGAAGUUUUUUAAUCAUAGUUUCAAUUUCAGUACUUGUGAUUGGCCUGUUCAUAUUUUCUGUUUUUUCCUGGUUCAGCCUUGAAAGGUUGUACCUUCAUAAGAAUGCAUCCAUUUUUUCUAAGUUGUCCAUUUUAUUGGUACAUUGUUGUUUGUAAUGGUCUCUUACUAUCUUUUGUAUUUCUUUGGUGAAAGUUGUAACUUCUCCUUUUUCAUUUCUAAUUUUAUUGAUUUGAGCCCUUCUCCCUAUUUUUCUUGAUGAUGGGGGCUAAAGUUUAUUAAUUUUGCUCAUGUUUUCAAAGAAUCAGGUUUUAGUUUCAUUGAUAUUUUGUACUUUUUUAUCUCUACCUCAUGUAUUUCUGCUCUUGAUGAUUUCUUUCCUUCCACUAACUUUGAGGUUUUUUUUUUUUUUUCCUAGUUGCUUUAGGUGUAAGGUUAGUCUGUUUAUCUGAGAUUUUUCUUGUUUCCUAGGAUAGGAUUGUAUUGCUAUAAUUUUCCCUCUUAAAGUUGCUUUGGCUGCAUCCCAUAGAUUUUGGAUCUUCUGUUUUCAUUGUCAUUUUGUCUCUUGGUAUUUUUUUAUUUCCUUUUUAAUUUCUAUACUGAUCCAUUGGUUGUUUAGUAGUGUAUUGUUUAUCUUCCAUGUGUUUGUGUUUACUGAUUUUUUUUUUCCUUGUAGUUGAUUUCCAGUCUCAUAACAUUGUGGUCAUAAAAGAUGCUUAUUGUAAUUUCAGUUCUCUCAAACUUAAAAAGACUUGAUUUUUGGCCCAAGAUAUGAUCUAUCCUGGGGAAUGUUCCAUGUGCACUUAAAAAGAAAGUAUAUUCUGCUUUUGGAUGGAACAUUCUAUAGAUAUGAAUUAAAUCUUAUCUUGUCAGGUGCAUUUCCUUAUUGAUUUUCUUUCUGGCUGAUCUGACCAUUGAUGUAAAUGGGAAUAUUAAUGUUUCCAAUUAUUACUGUAUUUUGUUGAUUUCUCCUUUGAUGGCUUUUAGCAUUUUCCUUUUGUAUUGAGGUGCUCUUAGGUUGGGUGCAUUUAUAUUUACAAUUGUUAAAUCUUCUUGGAUUGAUCCCUUGAUCAUUAGGUAAAGUCCUUCUUUGUCUCUUGUAACAUUCUUUAUUUUAUAGUCUGUAUUUUCUGAUAUGAAUAUUGCUACUCCAGCUCUCCUUUGAUUUCUACUUGGAUGGAAUAUCUUCUUCCAUCCCCUCACUUUCAGUUUCUGUGUCCCUAGAUCUGAAGUGGGUCUCUUGUACACAGUAUAAAUGUGGGUCUUACUUUUUGAAUCUAUUUAACUAGUCUGUGUCUUUUGGUUGGAGAAUUUAAUCUAUUUAUAUUCAGUUAAUUAUGGAUAUGUAUGUACUUAAUGCCAUUUUUAAAAUGUUUUUGAGUUUGUAAUAUUAGGUCUUUUUUCUUCCCUUCUCCUUUUGUCCUCUUGUGAUUUGAUGACUAUCUUUAGUUUUGUAUUUGGUUUGCUGUGUGUGUGUUUAUCUGUUGUAGUUUUUGGGUUUUGGUUCCCAUUACAUUUGUGUGAGUGUGUGUGUGGUUUUUUUUUAAUGAUUUUUAUUUUUUCCAUUAUAGUUGAUUUCCAAUGUUUUGUCAAUUUCUACUGUAUAGCAAAGUGACCCAGUAAUACACACACACACACACGUACAUUCUUUUUCUCACAUUAUCCUCCAUUAUGUUCCAUCAUAACUUACUAGAUAUAGUUCCCUGGGCUAUACCCAUUAGAUUUUGAUAUAGCAGUCUGUAUACAAACAGAAUUGCUUUAGGUUGCUGACCAUUUAAUUUCAAAUACAUUUUCUUUUUGUCUUUUUUUGGGGGGGCCUGCACCCAUAAUAUAUGGAGAUUCCCAGGCUAGGUGUUGAAUUGGAGCUACUCUUCUCAUGAUUGCUAGUUUUGAUAUCACAUCUGUCUGUGUAUGAUUCCUUCCUUUUUAUUUUGUUUGCUUUUAGCAGUGAGCUUCCACACUUGUAAUUUUCUUCUUUCGAGUUGUGUCCUUUUCUUUUCUCACUAGAAAAUUCGUUCAACAAUUGUUGUAAACCUGAUUUGGUUCUGUUGAAUUUUCUUUGAUUUUGCUUGUCUGAAAAGCUUUUGAUUUAUCCAUCAAAUCUGAAUGAGAACCUUGCUGGGUAGAGUAUUCUGGGUUGUACAUUUGUCCCUUUCAUCGUUUUAAAUAUAUCUUGUUACUCCCUUUUGGCAUGCAGAAUUUCUGCUGGAAAAAAAAAAAA
rnacentral:lncRNA from 1 species